CACGUAGUUAGCCGGGGCUUUCUUCUCAGGUACCGUCACUCCCCUAGCAGUUACUCUAGAGGACGUUCUUCCCUGGCAACAGAGCUUUACGAUCCGAAAACCUUCUUCACUCACGCGGCGUUGCUCCGUCAGACUUUCGUCCAUUGCGGAAGAUUCCCUACUGCUGCCUCCCGUAGGAGUCUGGGCCGUGUCUCAGUCCCAGUGUGGCCGUUCACCCUCUCAGGUCGGCUACGCAUCGUCGCCUUGGUGAGCCGUUACCCCACCAACUAGCUAAUGCGCCGCAGGCCCAUCCGUAAGUGACAGAUUGCUCCGCUUUCCCAAAUCCCCAUGCGAGGAAUUUGCGUAUCCGGUAUUAGCUACCGUUUCCGGUAGUUAUCCCAGUCUUACGGGCAGGUUGCCUACGUGUUACUCACCCGUCCGCCGCUAACCAACAGGUUCCGAAGAACCCUAUUAGUCCGCUCGACUUGCAUGUAUUAGGCACGCCGCCAGCGUGUCUCGUGCACGGAGUCAACGUACU
rnacentral:rRNA from 1 species